CAGCCGCCGCGGGAAUACGUAGGUGGCAAGCGUUGUCCGGAAUUAUUGGGCGUAAAGGGCUCGCAGGCGGUUUCUUAAGUCUGAUGUGAAAGCCCCCGGCUCAACCGGGGAGGGUCAUUGGAAACUGGGAAACUUGAGUGCAGAAGAGGAGAGUGGAAUUCCACGUGUAGCGGUGAAAUGCGUAGAGAUGUGGAGGAACACCAGUGGCGAAGGCGACUCUAUGGUCUGUAACUGACGCUGAGGAGCGAAAGCGUGGGGAGCGAACAGGAUUAGAUACCCCAGUAGUCCCUGUCUCUUAUAC
rnacentral:rRNA from 1 species